CCCUUAGAUGUUCUGGGCCGCACGCGCGCUACACUGACGAAUGCAACGAGCUUAUAACCUUGGCCGAAAGGUCUGGGUAAUCUCCAAAUUUCGUCGUGAUGGGGAUAGAUUAUUGCAAUUAUUAAUCUUCAACGAGGAAUGCCUAGUAAGCGCAAGUCAUCAGCUUGCGUUGAUUACGUCCCUGCCCUUUGUACACACCGCCCGUCGCUCCUACCGAUUGAAUGGUCCGGUGAAGCGCUCGGACCGCGGCCUCUUGACGGUUUUCCGUCGAUUGGCUGUGGGAAGUUCGUUAAACCUUAUCAUUUAGAGGAAGGAGAAGUCGUAGCA
rnacentral:rRNA from 1 species